rnacentral:rRNA from 1 species
AGUCGUAACAAGGUUUUCGUAGGUGAACCUGCGGAAGGAUCAUUAAUGAAUUCGGGCGCUCGACUCUGAAAUAUUGAGAUCGGCCCCAUUUCUUAAUCCACUUCACACUUGUGCACAUUUUUCCUACUUUCCUUCGGGAGAGUUUGAAAAGCUCUUGUGAUUUUAAUCAAGUCCAGGAUGUGAAUCCAAUUUGAAUAAGUUGUAAAACAACUACAAACGGUGGAUCUCUUGGCUCUCGUAUCGAUGAAGAACGCAGCGAAACGCGAAAUGUAAUGUGAAUUGCAGAAUUCAGUGAAUCAUCGAAUCUUUGAACGCAUCUUGCACUCUCGAAUCACUAUCGAGAGUAUGCCUGUUUGAGUGUCGCGAAACUCUCAACCCCGCCUCAUGCUUUAUUGCGUGUGGGUAGCUUGGGCUUGGAUCAUGAUCUUUGCAGUAAUGCGCUAGCAGAACUGCUGGAUUGAAAUACAACAAGCUGAAUCUAUAUACUUGCGGCUUGACCUGUCGUUGUAAGCACACAAAUGCAUUCGAUGGGGACGCGAGAAAAUGGAAUGAGCUUUCCAAAUGUGUUACACUUUGCAGCUUCUAUUAACUUAGAGCUCUUAGUGCAUUCUGACCUCAAAUCAGGUAGGAUUACCCGCUGAACUUAAGCAUAUCAAUAAAAGUCG